rnacentral:rRNA from 1 species
UCUAUCCUGCCCGUCUUGAAACACGGACCGAGGAGUUCAACUUGCAUGCGAGCCGGUGGGUGAUUAGCCCACGAGGCGGAAGAAACCUGAGUGGUGUGAACUGUCUGCGGGUGCACCGUCCGCCAACCACGAUCUGCUGUGAGAGGUUUGAGUGUGGGCAUGCCCGUUGGGACCCGAAAGAUGGUGAACUAUGCCUGAGCAGGGCGAGGCCAGAGGAAACUCUGGUGGAGGCUCGGAGCGAUACUGAUGUGCAAAUCGUUCGUCGGACUUGGGUAUAGGGGCGAAAGACUAAUCGAACGUUUUAGUAGUUGGUUCCCUCCGAAGUUUCCCUUAGGAUAUCUGGAGCUGUUGAACAGUUUUAUCGGGUAAAGCGAAUGAUUAGAGGCCUCGGGGAUGAAACACCCUCGACCUAUUCUCAAACUUUAAAUAGGUAAGAUUUCGGGGUUGCUUAAGCGAACUUCGAGAAUCAAUGAAAGCUCCAGGUGGGCCAUUUUUGGUGAGCAGAACUGGCGAUGCGGGAUGAACCGAAAGUCGAGCUACGGUGCCAAACUGUGCGCUAACCCAAACACCACAAAGGGUGUUGAUUGAUACCGACAGUAGGACGGUGGUCAUGGAAGUCAAAAUCCGCUAAGGAGUGUGUAACAACUCACCUGCCGAAUCAAUCAGCCUCGAAAAUGGAUGGCGCUGAAGCGCGCGACCUAUGCUCGGUCGUCACGGCAAUUAUGACGCCGCGACGAGUAGGAGGGCGCGGGGCCUGCUGCGAAGCCUGGAGCGUGAGCCUAGGUGAAGCAGGUCCUGGUGCAGAUSUUGGUGGUAGUAGCAAAUAUUCAAAUGAGAACUUUGAAGACCGAAGUGGAGAAGGGUUCCAUGUGAACAGCGCUUGGACAUGGGUAGUCGGCCCUAAGGGAUGUGGAAACCUUGUACCCAUGGCGCAUUGUGCGCCACACAUCGAAAGGGGUCGGGUUAAUAUUCUCGAAUCGGGAUGUGGACGUGGACGGUACGUAAGCAGGUCCGGAGAUGCCGGCGGGGGCCGUGGGGAGGGUUCUCUUUCCUUCUUGACGGCUCGCCCACCCUGGAAUCGGAUCAACCGGAGAUAGGGUGCAGCNGGGGAGGGUUCUCUUUCCUUCUUGACGGCUCGCCCACCCUGGAAUCGGAUCAACCGGAGAUAGGGUGCAGCGCCCGGCAAAGCACCGCGCGUCCUSUGGUGUCCAGCGCGCCCCCGACAGCCCUUGAAAAUCUAGAGAUGCGGGUACCUCUCAUGCCCGGCCGUACUCAUAACCGCAUUAGGUCUCCUAGGUGAGCAGCCUCGGGUCAAAGGAAGAAUGUAGGUAAGGGAAGUCGGCAAUAUGGAUCCGUAACCUUGGGAAAAGGAUUGGCUGUAAGGGCUGGGCCUAGGGGUCUGCGCCUCAAUGUCGUUGGCUGCCGGUGGUCUGCCCGAGCUUCUCUCGCGGCGAGGGCGGAGCCCGCGUGCGAGUGUGCCGACGGGCGUAGAAUGUCUUAUGUCCCCACCUUUCGGGUGSGGCCGUGGGACUCUCCCUAAGCAUCAAACUGCCGACGUAAAACUAGGGCGGACAAGGGGAAUCCGACUGUUUAAUUAAAACAAAGCRUUGCGAUGGUCCCAACGGAUGUUGACGCAAUGUGAUUUCUGCCCAGUGCUCUGGAUGUCAAAGUGAAAAGAUUCAACCAAGGCUUAGCGCGGGUAAGCGGCGGGAGUAACUAUGACUCUCUUAAGGUAGCCAAAUGCCUCGUCAUCUAAUUAGUGAYGCGCAUGAAUGGAUUAACGAGAUUCCCACUGUCCCUAUCUACCAUCCUUUGAAACCACAGCCAAGGGAACGGGCUUGGAAGAAUCGGUGGGGAAAGAAGACCAUGUUGAGCUUGACUCUAGUUCGACUCUGUGAAAUGACUUGAGAGGUGUAGAAUAAGUGGGAGCCUUACGGCGCAAGUGAAAUACCACUACUUUUAACGUUAUUUUACUUAUUUCGUGAGGUGGAGCCGGGGCUCUACCCCUGCUUCUCGAUCCAAGGUGCAGGCCCUCGUGGCCUGUCCGAUCCAAGCGAAAGACAUUGUCAAGUGGGGAGUUUGGCUGGGGCGGCAACAUCUGUUAGAAAAGAACGCAGGUGUCCUAAAAUGAGCUCAACGAGAACAGAAAUCUCGUGUGGAGCAAAAGGGCAAAAGCUCAUUUGAUUUUGAUUUCCAGUACGAAUACAAACUGUGAGAGCAUGGCCUAUCGAUCCUUUAGCGUUUCAGGACUUGRAGCUAGAGGUGUCAGAAAAGUUACCACAGGGAUAACUGGCUUGUGGCAGCCAAGCGUGCAUAGUGACGUUGCUUGUUGAUCCUUCGAUGUCGACUCUUCCUAUCAUUGUGAAGCAGAAUUCACCAAGUGUUGGAUUGUUCACCCACCAACAGGGAACGUGAGCURGGUUUAGACCGUCGUGAGACAGGUUAGGGGUCUCCCCUAUCGGUCUCUCGGCGAUCUUGCCGACUCACCUCGUUGCUUGUUGGGGUGAGCCUUGGAGCUCGACCCUUGCAUCCAUGUGGAUGUGGAGGGCACGGGAGAGCCGUAAAAUGAAAGUGUUUUAGGACUAGUUCUUGUUCAACGUGCGAAAGGACUUGCUGUCAAGGUUUAGGGUGAAAGUAGCAAAUAUGUUGAGAUCAAGUCCCACCCCUUCUGCAAUGGAAGGGGAAGAAAGGACUUGCUCUCAAGGAUUAGGGUGGAAGUAGCAAGCGACAACAAGUCCUAACCCCUCCGUCC